CCUGGUGAUGAAGGCGGAGAGGCCACACCUGUUCCCAUUCCGAACACAGAAGUUAAGCUCUCCAGCGCCGAUAGUACUUGGGACGAGAGUCCCUGGGAGGGUAGGUCAUUGCCAGGA
rnacentral:rRNA from 1 species